rnacentral:rRNA from 1 species
AUGAACGCUAGCGGCAGGCUUAAUACAUGCAAGUCGAGGGGCAUCAAGGUACACGAAAGUGUAUUGUUGGCGACCGGCGGACGGGUGAGUAAUAGGUAGGUAACCUACCUCAUACUGAGGCAUAGCUGGGAGAAAUUCCAGGUAAUUCCUCAUGAGGUUAUAUGACACAUGUGAUAUAAUCAAAGGUAUCGCAAGGUACUGGUAUGAGAUGGGCUUACUGACCAUUAGCUAGUUGGUGAGAUAAGAGCUCACCAAGGCGAAGAUGGUUAGGGGUUUUGAGAGAGAGAUCCCCCACAUUGGAACUGAGAUACGGUCCAGACUCCUACGGGAGGCAGCAGUAGGGAAUAUUGGGCAAUGGGCGGAAGCCUGACCCAGCCAUGCCGCGUGCAGGAUGAAGGCCCUAUGGGUUGUAAACUGCUUUUAGCCGGGAAUAAACACCCGUUUUAUAACGGGCCCGAAGGUACCGGCUGAAUAAGCAUCGGCUAACUCCGUG